GACGAACGCUGGCGGCGUGCUUAACACAUGCAAGUCGAACGGAAAGGCCCUGCUUUUGUGGGGUGCUCGAGUGGCGAACGGGUGAGUAACACGUGAGUAACCUGCCCUUGACUUUGGGAUAACUUCAGGCAACUGGGGCUAAUACCGGAUAGGAGCUCCUGCUGCAUGGUGGGGGUUGGAAAGUUUCGGCGGUUGGGGAUGGACUCGCGGCUUAUCAGCUUGUUGGUGGGGUAGUGGCUUACCAAGGCUUUGACGGGUAGCCGGCCUGAGAGGGUGACCGGCCACAUUGGGACUGAGCUACGGCCCAGACUCCUACGGGAGGCAGCAGUGGGGAAUAUUGCACAAUGGGCGGAAGCCUGAUGCAGCAACGCCGCGUGCGGGAUGACGGCCUUCGGGUUGUAAACCGCUUUCGCCUGUGACGAAGCGUGAGUGACGGUAAUGGGUAAAGAAGCACCGGCUAACUACGUG
rnacentral:rRNA from 1 species